rnacentral:misc_RNA from 2 species
AAGUCGUAACAAGGUUUCCGUAGGUGAACCUGCGGAAGGAUCAUUAGUGAAUUAAACAUGCUUGGUGUCUUCGCUUCGGCAAGGCCCUUGCUUAAAUCACAUCCUAACACCUGUGAACUGUAAGACGUAUGAUGAGGUCUUUGGCCAAGUCAUCGUCUGCCCAUUUUUAACAAACAAUUAAUGUAACAAACGUAGUCUUAUUAUAACCUAAUAAAACUUUCAACAACGGAUCUCUUGGCUCUC